rnacentral:rRNA from 1 species
UACGUAGGGGGCAAGCGCUGUCCGGAUUUAUUGGGCGUAAAGAGCGUGUAGGCGGCCAGAUAGGUCCGUUGUGAAAACUCGAGGCUCAACCUCGAGACGCCGAUGGAAACCAUUUGGCUAGAGUCCGGAAGAGGAGAGUGGAAUUCCUGGUGUAGCGGUGAAAUGCGCAGAUAUCAGGAAGAACACCCGUGGCUAAGGCGGCUCUCUAGUACGGUACUGACGCUGAGACGCGAAAGCGUGGGGAGCGAACAGG